GGUUCGAUGGUGUAGUUGGUUAUCACUUCUGUCUAACAAUCGCGUAAUCAUUACGUAAUUGGCACACAGGCGGUCCUCAGUUCGAACCUGGGUCGAAUCA